AUUGAACGCUGGCGGCAGGCCUAACACAUGCAAGUCGAGCGGAGCGUCGGACGGGUGAGUAAUGCCUAGGCAUCUUCCUGGUGGUGGUGGAUAACGUCCGGCAACGGGCGCCAAUACCGCAUACUAUCAGAUGAGCCUAGGUCUGAUCAGCUAGUUGGUGGGGUAAAGGCCUACCAAGGCUACGAUACGUAACGGGUCUGAGGGGAUGAUCAGUCACAAGGGAACUGAGACACGGUCCAACUUCCUACGGGAGGAGGAAGUGGGGAAUAUUGGACAAUGGGCGAAAGCCUGAUCCGGCAAUGCGGCGUGUGUGAAGAAGGUCUUCGGAUUGAAAGGUACUUUAAGUUGGAAGGCGUUACCAGCAGAAUAAGCAACGGCUAACUUCGUGCCAGCAGCCGCGGUAAUUC
rnacentral:rRNA from 1 species